rnacentral:rRNA from 1 species
CCGGAGCUUGCUCCGGUGAAAGUGGCGCACGGGUGAGUAACGCGUGGAUAAUCUGCCCUGGUAUYUGGGAUAACAUCUCGAAAGGGGUGCUAAUACCGGAUAAGCCUACGGACUCUUCGGAGUCUGCAGGAAAAGGUGGCCUCUAUUUAUAAGCUACCGUAUCAGGAUGAGUCCGCGUACCAUUAGCUAGUUGGUGGGGUAAUGGCCUACCAAGGCGACGAUGGUUAGCUGGUCUGAGAGGAUGAUCAGCCACACUGGAACUGAGACACGGUCCAGACUCCUACGGGAGGCAGCAGUGGGGAAUUUUGCGCAAUGGGGGAAACCCUGACGCAGCAACGCCGCGUGAGUGAUGAAGGCUUUCGGGUCGUAAAGCUCUGUCAGAGGGGAAGAAAUGAGUCUGGCUAAUAUCCAGAUUUCUUGACGGUACCCUCAAAGGAAGCACCGGCUAACUCCGUGCCAGCAGCCGCGGUAAUAC